GAUGAACGCUGGCGGCGUGCCUAAUACAUGCAAGUCGAGCGAACGGACGAGAAGCUUCCUUCUCUGAUGUUAGCGGCGGACGGGUGAGUAACACGUGGAUAACCUACCUAUAAGACUGGGAUAACUUCGGGAAACCGGAGCUAAUACCGGAUGAUAUUUUGAACCGCAUGGUUCAAAAGUGAAAGACGGUCUUGCUGUUACUUAUACAUGGAUCCGCGCUGCAUUAGCUAGUUGGUAAGGUAACGGCUUACCAAGGCAACGAUGCAUAGCCGACCUGAGAGGGUGAUCGGCCACACUGGAACUGAGACACGGUCCAGACUCCUACGGGAGGCAGCAGUAGGGAAUCUUCCGCAAUGGGCGAAAGCCUGACGGAGCAACGCCGCGUGAGUGAUGAAGGUCUUCGGAUCGUAAAACUCUGUUAUUAGGGAAGAACAUAUGUGUAAGUAAAUGUGCACAUCUUGACGGUACCUAAUCAGAAAGCCACGGCUAACUACGUG
rnacentral:rRNA from 1 species